rnacentral:rRNA from 1 species
UGGGGAAUAUUGCGCAAUGGGCGGAAGCCUGACGCAGCGACGCCGCGUGGGGGAUGACGGCCUUCGGGUUGUAAACCUCUUUCGCCCCCGACGAAGCGUGAGUGACGGUAGGGGGAGAAGAAGCACCGGCCAACUACGUGCCAGCAGCCGCGGUAACACGUAGGGUGCGAGCGUUGUCCGGAAUUAUUGGGCGUAAAGAGCUCGUAGGCGGUGUGUCGCGUCGGCCGUGAAAACCUGCAGCUUAACUGUGGGCUUGCGGUCGAUACGGGCAUCACUGGAGUUCGGCAGGGGAGACUGGAAUUCCUGGUGUAGCGGUGAAAUGCGCAGAUAUCAGGAGGAACACCGGUGGCGAAGGCGGGUCUCUGGGCCGAUACUGACGCUGAGGAGCGAAAGCGUGGGGAGCGAACAGG